rnacentral:misc_RNA from 1 species
GGGCAGAGUUCGAUCCUCUGACUUGACACC